rnacentral:rRNA from 1 species
UACGUAGGGCGCAAGCGUUAUCCGGAAUUAUUGGGCGUAAAGAGCUCGUAGGCGGUUUGUCGCGUCUGCCGUGAAAGUCCGGGGCUCAACUCCGGAUCUGCGGUGGGUACGGGCAGACUAGAGUGAUGUAGGGGAGACUGGAAUUCCUGGUGUAGCGGUGAAAUGCGCAGAUAUCAGGAGGAACACCGGUGGCGAAGGCGGGAUCCUGGGCCAGUACUGACGCUGAGGCGCGAAGGCUAGGGGAGCGAACGGG